rnacentral:rRNA from 1 species
AUUGAACGCUGGCGGCAGGCCUAACACAUGCAAGUCGAGCGGAUGAGUGGAGCUUGCUCCAUGAUUCAGCGGCGGACGGGUGAGUAAUGCCUAGGAAUCUGCCUGGUAGUGGGGGACAACGUUUCGAAAGGAACGCUAAUACCGCAUACGUCCUACGGGAGAAAGCAGGGGACCUUCGGGCCUUGCGCUAUCAGAUGAGCCUAGGUCGGAUUAGCUAGUAGGUGAGGUAAUGGCUCACCUAGGCGACGAUCCGUAACUGGUCUGAGAGGAUGAUCAGUCACACUGGAACUGAGAAACGGUCCAGACUCCUACGGGAGGCAGCAGUGGGGAAUAUUGGACAAUGGGCGAAAGCCUGAUCCAGCCAUGCCGCGUGUGUGAAGAAGGUCUUCGGAUUGUAAAGCACUUUAAGUUGGGAGGAAGGGCAGUAAGCUAAUACCUUGCUGUUUUGACGUUACCGACAGAAUAAGCACCGGCUAACUCUGUGCCAGCCGCCGCAGUAAAAC